AGUCGCGAUCUGCGAGCGGGUGGGUGCGCCUCGGGCCGCGGGACUGCUGCUGCUGCUGCUGCUGCUGCUGCUACCGCCGCCGCUGCCGCCGCCGCCUCUACGGCCGCGUCAGAACUGAAGAGAGGAAGGGGAGGAGCCCAGGCGAGCCUAAGCUACCGCCUGAUCUUACCCCUGACCCUAGGGCGGCGCGGAGAGGGAGCUCUGUCGCCGUUCCCUCCGGGGCAGGUGCGGACUGCUCCUCUGGGAAUGAGGAGGCCCGGGAUCGGGCUAGGGCGCGCAACACCCGAAGGUGAGGCUUUUGGCCCGGAGCAGAUCCUGGAACCGAGAGACGGCUGGAAAAGUUAACCUACAGCCAGUGGCUGCACCUGCUCCCGGGAGCGAACGUCCCACCCUUCCCUUGGCGUGGGGUGAAACCUUGCGCCGCAUUGUGUGUAGUAGUGCACUACGAAGGUUUGAUGAGUGAAUGAAUGAAUUAAUGCCUCUAGCACAGCAAUAGCGGGACUCAGAGGUGAUAGUGGAAGCGCACGCGUUUUGUAAGUUGAAGCGUAGAAACAAGUUGUACUACAUCUCCCUCCUCACCCCCACCCGCCCCCUGCCACGAAAGAAAAAGGAUGCCGUUUCUUCAGAGUCGCAACUUCAGAGUUUUGUGGGAAAGGAGGCGAAUUGGCAGGACUGGGGAACAGGGCUGAAAGAGAAUCAACAUCUAGGAUAUUAUUUAGGGGAUUUCUAUGUUUUCAAGGGGCGAAUGUAGUCGAGCCCCCUUUUAAAAGUAAUUCUUGCUUGUUUGGAUUUUUUGGAGCUUUUUAGAUUUUGUCAACAGAGUGCCCCUUAACCAUCUUCAAAAGAGUUUGGCGCCUCUCAGGUCUUUCUUCAAAGCGCUCUCGCGCGCUCUCUCUCUCUCUCUCUCUCUCUCUCUCUCUCUCUCUCGUGUGUGUGUGUGUGUGUGUGUGUGUGUGUGUGUGUGUGUGUUGUGGGGAGUAUGUUAUUAAUAAAUCUAUUGGGCCGUUUGUCCUACAGAUUCUGGGCUAGGAAAUGUUUAAGGAAAAACUCAUGAAAUGUAAGCUGUGGUUCUCUAAUAAAAGAAUUUUCGAGAUAAAAGAACUACAGCGCUCAGAAAUCUGUUACGAACUUACUUGCCCUCCUUAGUGGUGUGACAGUGAGAUUAAAGCAGCAGCAAAGAUGAAGGGAAACAGUUGUGUGGCUGGACCCCGUCCCUCUGGAAGCUACAGCGAUGGCUAUCAUAAGUGCUUCGGGUCUCUCCACCCUUCUUGGGAGAUUGGACCAAACAUGCUCUGUCCGCAUUUAAGAAGCAAGCCCAGGUUUAUGCCACGGCUGCUACCACUUCGUGCAAAGUAGAUCAAGAAAAUGCCUAUGUUGAUAAAUCAAGGGUUCAUUUUUGUUCAAAGGCUACAAAAACAAGAGUGAGUGAAGGGAAGAGGAGGAUGCCACAAAAGCAAGGAGAGACAAGUUGCACCAGGUCCUUCUGAAAUCCCAGGAGUCAUAUAACUUGCCCUAAGUACCCUGGGUUUGACUGUCUACAGACAAGAUCCAUUCACAGGCUGUAUUCAAUAAGAUUCACAGGGAAUCAGAUCAAUUAAUAAACAGUAGGCCAGCAUGGCUCCAACCUAAUCCUUUUGUUGAACUCUCUUCCUUACAGUAGGAAGUAAAGAAAUAAAAUACAGGUGUAUAGGGGUUUGGGAAGCUGAGCACCUCAGAGUCAGAGCUGUGCAGCCAAGGAUGCUUUCGGAGGAGUGCACCAUGCAGAGUGUCAGAUCAUCGCUGAGGGUCAGAGUGGCACUCACAAGAGCCCUGAGCAGCCUGCUCAGGAAUUAAACUUACUGAGUAAGGUCAUUCACGUCCCUGUCCUGCCUGGUAACAGGAGCAAGCAGCUGUUCUACAACUGGCUGCUGGAGAGGACAAAAUUCCUACCUCUCCAGUUUGUUCUAUAUCCUUUCAGAUCCUUGUGUUGUCUGUGAAUCUAGAGGAGAGAUAUAUCCGUUUAAUCAUAUUUCUGAAAAGUAAGUCAGAAAAACUUAUUUCAGGUAACCCAGUUCUUCUCCUGACUCACCAGUUUAUCACCAAGAUCUGUAUACUGUGUUAAAGUGGGACAAAGGGAUCUCUGUGUAAGGUUUAUAACUUUUCCCUUGAAAGGGAGCUUGACGGACAGUGUUGGUGCAUGCCUUUAAUCCCAGCACUCGGAAGGCAGAGGCAGGCGGAUUUCUGAGUUCGAGGCCAGCCUGGUCUACAGAGUGAGUUCCAGGACAACCAGAGCUACACAGAGAAACCCUGUGUCAAAAAAAAAAAAAAAAGGAAAAAGAAAGGGAGCUUGUUUGAGAAACUACUCAAUGUUUUAUUAUCCCACAUCACUGGUUUCUACUGUCAAACUAUAUAACAGAUUAACAGGCAAAAUUUCUAAAAACACACUAUAGCAUAUCAGUUCAUUUUAAGCAUUAUUGUGAAAUAUACUUUAAACAUGUAAGACAAUUGUGUGGUGUAAUUAUCAAAGAAACUACCAUGUAAGCAGUCAAACAGGCCAAUAAAUGGAGUUUGCUAAUCCUCCAAAGCCCUGUAAUGGCCUUCCUAAACAAGUCUCCCUUCUGGGAGAGUGGACAUUCCCUGGCAUUUGUGGUACUCGUUUCCUUGCGUCCGUCAUUGUUCUGUCACAGGUGUUCCUCCCUAAGCAGUACAUUGUUUAGUUUUUCCCUUUCUUGUGAAUGUUCUAUAGAGGGAAUGAUAAUGUGUAAUCUGUUAUGCUUACCAUAUUUGCUCAACCUGACUGUAAUCCAUAUGUUGUUCGGGUUCGUAUAGCUGUAAUUUGUUCCCUUUAAUUUAUGAAUAUUCAGUGUUCCAUUGUAACAAUAUAUAACAGUUUGUUUAGCCGUGUUGCUGAUAGGAGUCUGGGUUCAGUUCUAGGCUGUUAGAAAUACUGUUGAAAUUUUCCUAAGACUUUAAUCCAUCUCAUCUACAUAAAUUUCUGUAUACUGUGUACUUGGGAUUGUAUGUCAUAAGCUUGAAUAAAUCAUGCUGCGUGUCGUCUAACAUUCUAGGUCACAUUUGCUACAUGCAUGCCAUUGCUCCACACCUCACAACGCUUGGCAAGAACUCAGUCUUCAAAUCCUGCUGAGUGUUGAGCAGAACUCACUUCAGUGUUAACUUAGGUUCCCCCUGUUAUUGACUCUGUUGAGGGCCUUCUUUCUAGAGGAACAGAACUUAAAGAAGGGGGCUUUAUUAGAACAGCUAGUCAACAACCAAAGAGAGGUCCAAGAAUCUAGUAGUUGUUCAGUACUAAAGGCUGACUGCCUCUGCUGGUUUUCAGUAUGUGUUAGAAUGCCAAUUAAGGAGACUCUAAUGCCUAUGAAGGAAUGGAUUUACCCUUGAGAGCAAGAGCUAGCAUGCAAAGAGCAAGCUUCCUUCUUCCACUUGCUUUCUAUAGGCUGCCAGUAGGAGGUGUGGCCCAGAAUAAAAGUGGGUCUUCCCACUUCAGAAGGUCCAAUUAAAAGCAGCUCUUCCCACUUCAAAUGAUUUUUGAUUAAGAAAAGUUCCCUUUCAGAUGUACCCAACUACUUGGGUUUUAGUUAUGAGCCACCAUGUUGUUGCUGGGAAUUGAACUCAAAACCUCUGCAAGAGCAGUCAAUGCUCUUAACCGUUGAGCCAUCUCUCCAGCCUCUCGAGUGUCUUUUUGUAGUCUAUGUUUGAACACCAAAUUGGACUACAGUAAUGCCAUCAAAUGAGUAUAUUCAAAACAGAUUCUUUCUAAAAUAAGAGUCUAGCCUACCUAAUUAUCUUUAUGAUUUGAUCAUAAACUGUUUAAAGUAGGAUAUACACAAACACACUAUACAUAUAUUCCUUACAAAACAAUGCAUUUUCAACUAUUAAAAGCAUAACAUCUUAGCUUUAUUUUCCCUCAGUUCAUGAAGGCAGUGUUUACUCUCAAAGCCGUAAGAAUAAGAUCUCUUGUGGCUCUGUAUUUUUCUCAUAGACAGUUAUAAGAAGUUGUUUUCCCACCAGAGCUUUUGAAUUUCAUUUCCUUGGUUCAUUGAUUUUAUAAAAGUCACAAUGGCUUAUUCUUUCCUACACAGUCCCUACUGAAGUAUAGGGAAUUAUUUUUGUAAUUUUAUUAAGUAAUUUCACAUAUACUGUGACAUACCACCCAAUAUACUACGUUUGGCCAUUAUUUUUUCUUAUCUCAGCUCUUUGUUCAACUGGGUGAUAUUUUAAAACUGGAGGAAGCUGGGGCCCUGAGAGAUUGAUUUGCCAAGAGUCAGGAAAGCAAGUGAAUAGGAAAGCUGAGCUCCACCCUGCGUCUUCAGAAAGAGACCAUUCCACUCUAUCCCACUGACUCGGUCUUCUGCAGCAGCUAAGCAGAGUGAUUCCCAGGCUCAGUGGGACACUGUUCAGUCCCACAAAGCAGAGCUCUAGUGGAGUAAGUUUUCUUCUGGCCUACGAAUUUUAGGACCUGUGAAAGAGGAAGCCUUGCCAGGAAGGAGACGAGUCUAGAAAGAGAGUAAGGAAAGAUAAUGAAAGGAAAAUGUAAUCAAAUUGCAUUAUGUAUGGAAUUGUAGACAAUUACUCUUUAGAUUAAUGACAUUUUUAAGAUUAAUAAUGCUUAAAGGGAAUUAAAUAAAAGGAAACUUGCUUUCAAAAUGAAA
rnacentral:lncRNA from 1 species